rnacentral:rRNA from 1 species
AACGAACGCUGGCGGCGUGCCUAACACAUGCAAGUCGAGCGAGAAAAGGGGGGUAACGUCCCUGAGUACAGCGGCGCACGGGUGAGUAACACGUAGGUAAUCUACCCUCGAGCCCGGAAUAACCUACCGAAAGGUGGGCUAAUACCGGAUAUGACCACGGGAGCUUCGGCUUCUGCGGUGAAAGGUGGCCUCUGCUUGCAAGCUACUACUUGAGGAUGAGCCUGCGUGCCAUUAGCUAGUUGGUGAGGUAACGGCCCACCAAGGCGAUGAUGGCUAGCUGGUCUGAGAGGAUGGCCAGCCACACUGGGACUGAAACACGGCCCAGACUCCUACGGGAGGCAGCAGUCGGGUAAUUUUGGGCAAUGGGCGAAAGCCUGACCCAGCAACGCCGCGUGAAGGAUGAAGUUAUUUCGGUAU